UACAGGGAGACCUACUUCAUCAGGACCUGACCCAAACUUUAGGGUCCGAUGGAAGUCAUCCCAAAGGUCGGUCGAGGUAGCAAGUAAUGGUUUUCAAACUAUUUGCAGGUUCGGGACAUGGGCUAUUAGCUCAGGUGGUUAGAGCGCACCCCUGAUAAGGGUGAGGUCCCUGGUUCGAGUCCAGGAUGGCCCACCUGAAACUAGUGAUAAACCUUGAGUUGCGAUAAGGUUUGAAACUAAUUUCAAGGGGGUAUAGCUCAGUUGGUAGAGCGCUGCCUUUGCAAGGCAGAUGUCAGCGGUUCGAGUCCGCUUACCUCCACUGAAAGUUAACCAGUUAAAACCUGGCUUUCAGCGGCUACCGUAAAAACCGAGUCAAUCAGUUUCAUCUCUUGUACCUCCGAGGUCACAAUAUGCUACAUUAGUAGCCUGUGGGGUAAAUAGGUAUUGCGUGUCAACAACCUUGACACUACCUUACAUAUAACCUUCAGCACCUACUCUAGAGAAAUACUAGAUGGCCUGCUGGAUGUUUAGUCCAGUGAGAACCUUGAAAACUGCAUAGCAAUAGUCAUAAGCCAACUGUAAAGGCUCAAGUUAAUCUUGAGUACUUGCAAGCAGGUAGAUAUCGAAAUAGACACUAAGUAAAAGU
rnacentral:tRNA from 1 species